rnacentral:misc_RNA from 1 species
AACGCACCUUGCGCUCCUUGGUAUUCCGAGGAGCAUGCCUGUUUGAGUGUCAUGGUAUUCUCAACCCUUUGGGGGGCCCCUUUUUCAAAGGGGGGUUUUCCGGGGGUUGGAUGGUGGAGGCCUUGCGGGUGUUCCGGGUGGAAAAGGGGGCGCGCGCUUACCUUGCUGUUUCGCGCCCCUCCCCCGAGCCGGCUCCUCUGAAACGCAUCAGCUUGGGACCUCACCGAGCGCGAUCCGGCGUGAUAGUUUCGUCUGCGCCCGCGUCCGUGCCCCUUCGGUGUUCCGGCUUCCAAAAGCCCACUUCUUGAGCAUCUGACCUCAGAUCAGGUAGGACUACCCGCUGAACUUAA